rnacentral:rRNA from 2 species
UGGGGAAUUUUGGACAAUGGGGGAAACCCUGAUCCAGCCAUCCCGCGUGUGCGAUGAAGGCCUUCGGGUUGUAAAGCACUUUUGGCAGGAAAGAAACGUCAUGGGUUAAUACCCCGUGAAACUGACGGUACCUGCAGAAUAAGCACCGGCUAACUACGUGCCAGCAGCCGCGGUAAUACGUAGGGUGCAAGCGUUAAUCGGAAUUACUGGGCGUAAAGCGUGCGCAGGCGGUUCGGAAAGAAAGAUGUGAAAUCCCAGAGCUUAACUUUGGAACUGCAUUUUUAACUACCGGGCUAGAGUGUGUCAGAGGGAGGUGGAAUUCCGCGUGUAGCAGUGAAAUGCGUAGAUAUGCGGAGGAACACCGAUGGCGAAGGCAGCCUCCUGGGAUAACACUGACGCUCAUGCACGAAAGCGUGGGGAGCAAACAGG